rnacentral:rRNA from 1 species
CAAUGCGGGGGCUUACACAUGCAAGUUGAGCGGUAAGGCCCCUUCGGGGGUACACGAGCAGCGAACGGGGGAGUAUCGCGUGGGUAACCUACCCAGAGGGGGGGGAUAGCCCCGGGAAACCGGGGGUAAUACCGCAUGAGUCCUCGAUGACACAAGUCGACGAGGGGAAAGGCGGGGAUCCUUCGGGACCUGUCGUCUCUGGAUGGGCCCGCGUCCGAUUAGCUUUUUGGGGGGGUAAUGGCCUACCAAGGCAACGAUCGGUAGCCGGCCUGAGAGGGGGAACGGCCACAUUGGGACUGAGACACGGCCCAGACUCCUACGGGAGGCAGCAGUGGGGAAUUUUGGGCAAUGGGGGAAACCCUGACCCAGCGACGCCGCGUGGAGGAUGACGGCCCUCGGGUUUUAAACUCCUGUCAGGGGGGAAGAAGAGCCUGUCGGUUAAUACCCGGCAGGAAUUGACGGUACCACCAAAGGAAGCCCCGGCUAACUCCGUGCCAGCAGCCGCGGUAAUACGGAGGGGGCAAGCGUUAUUCGGAUUUACUGGGCGUAAAGCGCACGUAGGUGGCAUGGUAAGUCAAAGGGGAAAGCCCUCGGCUCAACCGAGGAAUUGCCUUUGAAACUGCUUUGCUUGAGUCCGGGAGGGGGGAGCGGAAUUCCCAGUGUAGCGGGGAAAUGCGUAGAUACUGGGAGGAACACCGGGGGCGAAGGCGGCUCCCUGGACCGGUACUGACACUGAGGGGCGAAAGCGUGGGUAGCAAACAGGAUUAGAUACCCUGGUAGUCCACGCCGUAAACGAUGGGCACUAGGGGCAGCGGGGGUCGACCCCUGCUGUGCCGUAGUUAACGCAUUAAU